CAGCGCCGCGGUAAUACGAAGGGUGCAAGCGUUACUCGGAAUUACUGGGCGUAAAGCGUGCGUAGGUGGUGGUUUAAGUCCGUUGUGAAAGCCCUGGGCUCAACCUGGGAAUUGCAGUGGAUACUGGGUCACUAGAGUGUGGUAGAGGAUAGUGGAAUUUCCGGUGUAGCAGUGAAAUGCGUAGAGAUCGGAAGGAACGUCUGUGGCGAAGGCGACUAUCUGGGCCAACACUGACACUGAGGCACGAAAGCGUGGGGAGCAAACAGGAUUAGAUACCCCAGUAGUCCCUGUCUCUUAUCCC
rnacentral:rRNA from 1 species